AACAAAGAAGUAAAAUUACAUUUAGUUUCGACCUAAACUUAAGGAGUAAACCUCAUGUUU
rnacentral:tRNA from 1 species